rnacentral:rRNA from 1 species
UCCAGAGGUGGCAAGCGUUGUUCGGAAUUACUGGGCGUAAAGGGCGCGUAGGCGGCCAUCUAAGUCAGACGUGAAAUCCCCCGGCUUAACCUGGGAACUGCGUCUGAUACUGGAAGGCUUGAGUAUGGGAGAGGGAUGUAGAAUUCCAGGUGUAGCGGUGAAAUGCGUAGAUAUCUGGAGGAAUACCGGUGGCGAAGGCGGCAUCCUGGACCAUUACUGACGCUGAGGCGCGAAAGCUAGGGGAGCAAACGGG